UACAAACUGUUCCUCUCACGCAGCAGA
rnacentral:piRNA from 1 species